CCUACGGGAGGCUGCAGUAGGGAAUCUUCCACAAUGGGCGAAAGCCUGAUGGAGCAACGCCGCGUGGGUGAAGAAGGUCUUCGGAUCGUAAAACCCUGUUGUUAGAGAAGAAAGUGCGUGAGAGUAACUGUUCACGUUUCGACGGUAUCUAACCAGAAAGCCACGGCUAACUACGUGCCAGCAGCCGCGGUAAUACGUAGGAUGCGAGCUUUAUCCGGAUUUAUUGGGUUUAAAGGGUGCGUAGGCGGGCAUUUAAGCCGGCGGUAAAAUGGCGGGGCUAAACCACGGCCUGGCGGCGGAACUGGGUGCCUGGAGGGGGCGAGAGGUAUGGGGAAUGCGGGGUGUAGGGGUGAAAUGUUUAGAUACAACGAAGACUCCCG
rnacentral:rRNA from 1 species